rnacentral:rRNA from 1 species
GAUGAACGCUAGCUACAGGUCUUAACACAUGCAAGUCGAGGGGCAUCAGGAAGAAAGCUUGCUUUCUUUGCUGGCGACCGGCGCACGGGUGAGUAACACGUAUCCAACCUGCCCUUUACUCGGGGAUAGCCUUUCGAAAGAAAGAUUAAUACCCGAUAGCAUAAUGAUUCCGCAUGGUUUCAUUAUUAAAGGAUUUCGGUAAAGGAUGGGGAUGCGUUCCAUUAGGUUGUUGGUGAGGUAACGGCUCACCAAGCCUUCGAUGGAUAGGGGUUCUGAGAGGAAGGUCCCCCACAUUGGAACUGAGACACGGUCCAAACUCCUACGGGAGGCAGCAGUGAGGAAUAUUGGUCAAUGGGCGUUAGCCUGAACCAGCCAAGUAGCGUGAAGGAUGAAGGCUCUAUGGGUCGUAAACUUCUUUUAUAUAAGAAUAAAGUGCAGUAUGUAUACUGUUUUGUAUGUAUUAUAUGAAUAAGGAUCGGCUAACUCCGUGCCAGCAGCCGCGGUAAUACGGAGGAUCCGAGCGUUAUCCGGAUUUAUUGGGUUUAAAGGGAGCGUAGGUGGACUGGUAAGUCAGUUGUGAAAGUUUGCGGCUCAACCGUAAAAUUGCAGUUGAUACUGUCAGUCUUGAGUACAGUAGAGGUGGGCGGAAUUCGUGGUGUAGCGGUGAAAUGCUUAGAUAUCACGAAGAACUCCGAUUGCGAAGGCAGCUCACUGGACUGCAACUGACACUGAUGCUCGAAAGUGUGGGUAUCAAACAGG